rnacentral:rRNA from 1 species
UAUUGCCAGCACGUAAUGGUGGGGACUUGCAGGAGACUGCCGGGGUCAACUCGGAGGAAGGUGGGGAUGACGUCAAGUCAUCAUGCCCCUUAUGUCCAGGGCUUCACACAUGCUACAAUGGCGCGUACAGAGGGCUGCGAGACCGUGAGGUGGAGCGAAUCCCUUAAAGCGCGUCUCAGUUCGGAUUGGGGUCUGCAACUCGACCCAUGAAGUCGGAGUCGCUAGUAAUCGCAGAUCAGCAACGCUGCGGUGAAUACGUUCCCGGGCUUGUACACACCGCCCGUCACGUCAUGAAAGUCGGUAACACCGAAGCCGGUGGCCUAACCCCUCGGGGAGGGAGCCGUCGAAGGUGGGAUCGGCGAUUGGGACGAAGUCGUAACAAGGUAGCCGUACCGGAAGGUGCGGCUGGAUCACCUCCUUUCU